rnacentral:rRNA from 1 species
UACGGAGGGUGCGAGCGUUACUCGGAAUUACUGGGCGUAAAGGGUGCGUAGGUUGUUAGAUAAGUUGACUGUGAAAGUCCUGGGCUCAACCCACAAACCGCUUUUCAUACUGGCGAGCUGGAGUGAUGCAGAGGUGGAUAGAAUUCCUGGUGUAGCGGUGAAAUGCGUUGAUAUCAGGAGGAAUACCCGUGGCGAAGGCGGUCCACUGGGCAUCAACUGACGCUGAGGCGCGAAAGCGUGGGUAGCAAACAGG